GGUCUUGUGAUGAUUCAUAAUAACUGAGCGGAUCGCGGCCUUGCCGCGACGAAUCGUUCAAGUUUCUGCCCUAUCAGCUUUCGAUGGUAGUGUAUUGGACUACCAUGGCGAUCACGGGUAACGGGGAAUUAGGGUUCGAUUCCGGAGAGGGAGCCUGAGAAAUGGCUACCACAUCUAAGGAAGGCAGCAGGCGCGUAAAUUACCCAAUCCUAAUUCAGGGAGGUAGUGACAAGAAACAACAACUCGGACCUCACAUGAGGUUACGGGAUUGCAAUGAGAACAAUUUAAACCACUUAUCGAGUAACAAUUGGAGGGCAAGUCUGGUGCCAGCAGCCGCGGUAAUUCCAGCUCCAAUAGCGUAUAUUAAAGUUGUUGCAGUUAAAAAGCUCGUAGUUGAAUUUCUGGCCAGCACUGUCCUGGCUCUCUGAGUCGGUUCAGUGUUUGGUCAUCCGUAUGGGAAGCUAACUCGGCCUUCACUGGUCGGUUUAGUGGAUCAUACACUUUACUUUGAAAAAAUUGGAGUGUUUCAGGCAGGCAAUUGCUUGGAUACUUCAGCAUGGAAUAAUGGAAUAGGACUUUGACCUAUUUGUUGGUUUCUUUCGAGGUCAAGGUAAUGAUUAAUAGGGACAGUUGGGGGCACUCGUAUUUAAUUGUCAGAGGUGAAAUUCUUUGGAUUUUAUUAAGACGACCUUAUGCGAAAGCAAUUUGCCAAAGGAUGUUUUCAUUUAAUCAAGAACGAAAGUUAGGGGGAUCAAAGGACGAUCAGGAUACCG
rnacentral:rRNA from 1 species